rnacentral:rRNA from 1 species
GACGAACGCUGGCGGCGUGCUUAACACAUGCAAGUCGAACGGUGAAAGCGGAGCUUGCUCCGCUGGAUCAGUGGCGAACGGGUGAGUAACACGUGGGCAACCUGCCCCUCACUUCGGGAUAACUCCGGGAAACCGGGGCUAAUACCGGAUAUGACCUCCUUGGGCAUCCUUGGAGGUGGAAAGUUUUUCGGUGAGGGAUGGGCCCGCGGCCUAUCAGCUUGUUGGUGAGGUAGUGGCUCACCAAGGCGACGACGGGUAGCCGGCCUGAGAGGGCGCCCGGCCACACGGGGACUGGGACACGGCCCAGACUCCUGCGGGAGGCAGCAGUGGGGAAUAUUGCGCAAUGGGCGAAAGCCUGACGCAGCAACGCCGCGUGCGGGAUGACGGCCUUCGGGUUGUAAACCUCUUUUAGCAGGGAAGAAGCGAAAGUGACGGUACCUGCAGAAAAAGCACCGGCUAACUACGUGCCAGCCGCCGCAGUAA